GACGAACGCUGGCGGCGUGCCUAAUACAUGCAAGUUGAGCGAUGGAGAUUGGUGCUUGCACCAAUUUGAAGAGCAGCGAACGGGUGAGUAACGCGUGGGGAAUCUGCCUUUGAGCGGGGGACAACAUUUGGAAACGAAUGCUAAUACCGCAUAACAACUUUAAACAUAAGUUUUAAGUUUGAAAGAUGCAAUUGCAUCACUCAAAGAUGAUCCCGCGUUGUAUUAGCUAGUUGGUGAGGUAAAGGCUCACCAAGGCGAUGAUACAUAGCCGACCUGAGAGGGUGAUCGGCCACAUUGGGACUGAGACACGGCCCAAACUCCUACGGGAGGCAGCAGUAGGGAAUCUUCGGCAAUGGACGAAAGUCUGACCGAGCAACGCCGCGUGAGUGAAGAAGGUUUUCGGAUCGUAAAACUCUGUUGGUAGAGAAGAACGUUGGUGAGAGUGGAAAGCUCAUCAAGUGACGGUAACUACCCAGAAAGGGACGGCUAACUACGUG
rnacentral:rRNA from 1 species